rnacentral:rRNA from 1 species
GACGAACGCUGGCGGCGUGCUUAACACAUGCAAGUCGAACGAUGAUGUCCCAGCUUGCUGGGGUGGAUUAGUGGCGAACGGGUGAGUAACACGUGGGUGAUCUGCCCUGCACUUCGGGAUAAGCCUGGGAAACUGGGUCUAAUACCGGAUAUGACCCUCCUUUAGUGUGGGGGGUGGAAAGCUUUAGCGGUGUGGGAUGAGCCUGCGGCCUAUCAGCUUGUUGGUGGGGUAAUGGCCUACCAAGGCGUCGACGGGUAGCCGGCCUGAGAGGGUGAUCGGCCACAUUGGGACUGAGACACGGCCCAG